UAAAACAACAAAAUUAUAGAACAUUAUUUCUUUCAAUGAACAAUAUGCAAUUGUAACAUUUGUUAAAUAUUUAGAUGUUAAAAAGAGAUUACUUCUUUGGGUUGGGAUAUGAUGUUAAUUUUGUGCCAUUUAUUAAGAAAUUGAUAUUAAUGAUCAACUGAUAUAGAUGAACUAGGAAGUUAUAUCUAACAUCGUGAAAUUUACUUGGCUGACAAUUUUUUGUAUGAAUGUGUCUUAUGA
rnacentral:misc_RNA from 1 species